rnacentral:rRNA from 1 species
GACGAACGCUGGCGGCGUGCUUAACACAUGCAAGUCGAACGGAAAGGCCCUGCUUUUGUGGGGUGCUCGAGUGGCGAACGGGUGAGUAACACGUGAGUAACCUGCCCUUGACUUUGGGAUAACUUCAGGAAACUGGGGCUAAUACCGGAUAGGAGCUCCUGAUGCAUGGUGGGGGUUGGAAAGUUUCGGCGGUUGGGGAUGGUCUCGCGGCUUAUCAGCUUGUUGGUGGGGUAGUGGCUUACCAAGGUUUUGACGGGUAGCCGGCCUGAGAGGGUGACCGGCCACAUUGGGACUGAGAUACGGCCCAGACUCCUACGGGAGGCAGCAGUGGGGAAUAUUGCACAAUGGGCGGAAGCCUGAUGCAGCAGCGCCGCGUGCGGGAUGACGGCCUUCGGGUUGUAAACCGCUUUCGCCUGUGACGAAGCGUGAGUGACGGUAAUGGGUAAAGAAGCACCGGCUAACUACGUG